UACGUAGGGCGCAAGCGUUGUCCGGAAUUAUUGGGCGUAAAGAGCUCGUAGGUGGCUUGUCGCGUCUGCCGUGAAAUCCCGUGGCUUAACUGCGGGUCUGCGGUGGAUACGGGCAGGCUAGAGGCUGGUAGGGGCAAGCGGAAUUCCUGGUGUAGCGGUGAAAUGCGCAGAUAUCAGGAGGAACACCGGUGGCGAAGGCGGCUUGCUGGGCCAGUUCUGACGCUGAGGAGCGAAAGCGUGGGGAGCGAACAGG
rnacentral:rRNA from 1 species